UACGUAGGGUGCGAGCGUUAAUCGGAAUUACUGGGCGUAAAGCGUGCGCAGGCGGUUCGUUGUGUCGGCGGUGAAAGCCCGGGCUCAACCUGGGAAUGGCCGUUGAAACUGGCGAACUGGAGUGUGGCAGAGGGGGUGGAAUUCCGCGUGUAGCAGUGAAAUGCGUAGAUAUGCGGAGGAACACCGAUGGCGAAGGCAAUCCCCUGGGCCUGCACUGACGCUCAUGCACGAAAGCGUGGGGAGCAAACAGG
rnacentral:rRNA from 1 species